AACAUAAAUGAUUUUCAUAUAUUGAGGUUGUAAGUAUCGUGUAAUGCACCAUGCAACGUAAAUACUUAGGAGCCUAGAAUGAUAUAUUUUGAACUCUUCUUCAAGUAGAUUACUGCAUGGAAUGGGGCAUUACAUAAAUUUAUGUAAAUAUAUACGUGGUGACAAUUUUGGAAUGAUGAAAGUUUGACAAACUUGAAUUGAGUUGGUGUACCAGGUGGAGAACGUGACAAGUAAAGAGAAGCAAAUUAUAAAGUUGGUUUAGUCUAAGGCACUAGCGUGGAUAUAAUGAAUGUAAUAUAAAUGUAUACAAAGGUCGCACUUGUAUUGUUAAACUGAUAUUUUAUACAAUAAAGUUGUUUUGUCUCUUUCCUCCUGCCGCCGCAUCAUCAAGUAAGGGUGGACAAAUCUCAACACGUGUCGACACCUGAGUGGUUCCGUGUUUUUUUCUCCUGCUUUUGUUUCUUGCUUUGUUGAAUAAGAGAGUCUGAUGUGGGCUUUAUGGUAUUUGCGCAUGAAGCCCAAAGUGGAGCCCAGUCUCCUUCACUCUGUUUCAACCCACAAAUGUUUAGGGUUUUCUCCCAUUUUCUUCUCACGGCUCGAACUCACCGACGAAACCAAUGUUUGGCUCAGAUCGCCGUUCGGCGCCUCAGAUUUCCAUAUGGAGGCCACUACAAGCUCCUCCUUCGAACCGUCUUUGUCAUUUUUUUUUGGAAAAGCUCUCCGUCGUCUGUAUACUUCUCUGUUCCACUGAAGAAACCAGAACGAUAUGUAACGCUUUAUUCACAAUUGAGAACUCUAUUAAAUUUCACCAUUAAGUCACUCCGUCUAUCCCACUACUCGAAUUUAAUUACUACUCUUCCCAUCUUCUUUGCAAAUCCCUAAUUUUCCAUACUAUAAAUAGUGGUGCAGCCAUCUCCAUAUCUCAUCGUUUCACCAGAUUCAUCGUUUCGUCCUUAUAGUGUUGACGCGUCUCAUGCGUUUCUGGGAAGCAUGUUUUUGCUUGAUGAAAAGGUUUGCUUUCUUCGUGUGUUUCCCAAUUUUCAGUUAAAGCUUUUCCAAGGUUCCAUCUAUGUUCAUCGCCUUAAUACUUUCAAACAUCUCUGUUCAGUGGGUUUGAUGCUACGAGAAGCAACCACCACUUCAAGAAACAAAAUCACCUGUCACAAUAUGCUUCACUGACCUAACUAAGUUUGUUGAGAUUCCGGCAGGACCUGCUCCAGUACCCCUGGAGUUCUUUAGUUUUUGUCUUUAUGAGCAACUCAUGGAAUUGGCAAACAAAAAUACUCAAUUUUUAGGUCUGUCUUUUAACUUACAUUUGGAACAAAUCUAGAUGUUUUCCCGUUAAUAUAUCCACACUCUGUUACACUUUCUUUGCAUGCAUCAUAGGGGAGGUGACUCAGGUGAGCAACGUCAAUAUAACUUUUAAUGACGAAUCACAAACAACUCAACACAUAAUGGAGGCCAUCCAAAUUGACGGGCCAGCAAACUCCACCAGAACUUAGAUGGGGUUGGUGUGGAGCCUAAGGUCAUUAAUAUCAAAGAACAUUAAUCCAAAAUUUGUAGGAGGACGCUUAUAUUUGAAUGCAAUUUCAGGGACCAAUUUCCACUUCGACAAAGAACUUCGGUGAGGAUGGUGUCACCAGCUCUGCAAGUUAUACCAAAUAUGGAGAUGUUCAGAAAAUUGAAACUGUUACGGUGCUCAAGCUUAAUGCGUACGUGCUGAAAUCUCGCUGCAGGUUUCUGAGUUCCUUUGCACCAACAAAGUAGACGCCACUGAAACCACCAAUGGAUGGUGCUACAUUUUCUGCUACAAAUGUUCAAGAAAGCUACAGCGAGGAUUCCCUUCAUUCACAUGCACCUAUUGUCAUAACUCUAGCACUAUUGGUGUUGUCAGGUAUUGCCCGGUAGAUUUAUCUCACUUCUCACUUUUUAAAAUAUUCACUAAACAAGCCAUCUAACAUUCUCCCAUUGGCGUUUUAAAAUUUUGCAAACCGUGUGGAGAUUUGUGUCUCUGAUGCGAGAGAGUCAUCCAUGUUUGUUGUCAUCCAUGUUUGACUACAAAUUGGUAUUUCAAUAUUUACAUACACAAGCUACGUAAUGAUGUCUACAUUCUUUUCAUUAAAAUGCAGGCUGCAAGUGUUGCAGACCCUCUAGAGUCUGAGGUUUCACAAUUUCUCCAAGAAAUAGUUGUGAGACGUUUGAUUUUCAAUUGAAGCUUUUUGAGUUCA